ensembl:lincRNA 4930568A12Rik RIKEN cDNA 4930568A12 gene
CUUUCUAGUCCCAUAACCUCCCAGUUUACCGUUCGUUUCUGCCACCCAACCUGGAGACAGCAGUUGUGAAAUCUUCCCAGGCAUGUCACUUGGCGGGUCGCCAUCAGGACUACUAGGACAGACCUGACCAAAAGUCUCACUCACCAAGCUUCUCCGACCACCCCGGGGUGUCCACACUCGGUUCCUCCCAUGACAGCAGCUCCUUGUUCAGAGAGCUCUCCGUAUCACCUUGGAAAAAGAUGAAAAACGCAGUGGAAAAAUGAACAAGGGAUCCGAGUGUCAUCGUAAACACUCAAACCUGUUCAACUUCACUUAGAAUUAGAGACUUGGAAAUCCCUGCCCAUGAAGAACCCAUCUUAAUGGCAAGGAUCACAAGUUUGGCCACAUGCCUUACAAAAUGUUUCUAUGUAUUCGAGACAGAUGGGCUUCAAUCUAGAUCUCAGCAUCCUGCCUCAGCAUCCUAGGGUUCAAGGAUAAUUGUGCACCACCACGCCCUGUUUCUGUCACAAUUCUGAAAGAAGUUCUGCAAAACACAAAUGUGUGUCCCACCUCAGCUCCAAGCAACACCCGAGGCCUGGAUGGUAACACCCAUAUCACCAACCAAAGACCUGCCACUGCCAACCCAGAUGCUCUGAGGGGCCUUUGUCUGGAAGCCAUCCCCACUAGCUAUUGUAUUAGCUCAGAUUUGGAUCCCAUCAUUAAACUUUACUCUUUGACUUCAUAAAGAUUCUCUUCCCUAUCCGCCUGACUAGUUACAAAAGUCAACAAUCUCUACUACAGGUCUCAAAAGGAGGAUUAAUAGUUGCUUGAUGAAGCAAGAAAGCAAAUGUGGUUGGCCAUAUGUUGCCAAGAAAAGGAAGAAUGUGUCUCGUUUUCAAAGAAGAGGAAGAGGAGGAAGAGAAAGAAGAAGAAGAAGAAGAAGAAGA